AUGGGUAUGCAGGCUCUGAUGGAUGUCCGGUGCAAGAAUCUAGUCAACCCUAUAUGCGACUGGCUUGGUGAGAUUCAUGACCCCGCCUCCAGGGAAUUUGUGAUUUUGGGACGUGGAAGACUUCCGUUGGACGAGGAAUCCGUGUUCUGCACUUUGGAUUUGCCCCAUGGAGAAAUCAAAGUCCCGUAUGAGGUCAAUAAUAAGAUCGAGGAAACGUUGUUCCCCAGUUUGUUUCCUGGGUUGGAAUCCAUGCCGAACACAACUUUCCUGGCAGAUUCGCUGCAGGCCAUGACAACCCAUGGCGAGGUUUUUAAGAUGAAACUACUCAUGUACCUCAUCUCUGCUGUUUUCGCAUCGACCACUUCUCUUCGCCCAAGCAACAAAUGCUUCCCCAUCCUAGCGAAACUGAAAGAUGUGAAGAACAUGAAUUAUUGUAAGUUCAUUGCCGACUUCCUGCAUAAUGCAUUCUCAAACAAGAUGUACCAGAAGGGUUAUCGACUGCAUUUAAUGCUCAUGUACGUCGACUGUCUUGAUCUGUCCACUGUGGAUUUCACUGGGACAGGAGGCCCGUCGCCUACACACAAGUUUGUUGUUUCUGUGUGGACUUAUGAUGCUGUCAAGGCCGUGCUUGCUGUAGAUAGGGUAACUGAUACCAAAUAUGAAAACUGCAGCUGA
rnacentral:rRNA from 1 species